rnacentral:rRNA from 1 species
UACGUAGGGUGCGAGCGUUUAAUCGGAAUUACUGGGCGUAAAGCGUGCGCAGGCUGUUCUGUAAGUCAGAUGUGAAAUCCCCGAGCUCAACUUGGGAACUGCGUUUGAAACUACAGGACUAGAAUAUGUCAGAGGGGGGGUAGAAUUCCACGUGUAGCAGUGAAAUGCGUAGAGAUGUGGAGGAAUACCAAUGGCGAAGGCAGCCCCCCUGGGAUAAUAUUGACGCUCAUGCACGAAAGCGU